UACAGAGGUGGCAGGCGUUGUUCGGAAUUACUGGGCGUAAAGGGCGCGUAGGCGAUUCGGUAAGUCCUGUGUGAAAUCCCUCGGCUCAACUGAGGAACUGCACGGGAGACUGCCAGGCUUGAGUUCGGGAGAGGGAAGCGGAAUUCCGGGUGUAGCGGUGAAAUGCGUAGAUAUCCGGAGGAACACCGGUGGCGAAGGCGGCUUCCUGGACCGACACUGACGCUGAGGCGCGAAAGCUAGGGGAGCAAACGGG
rnacentral:rRNA from 1 species